rnacentral:snoRNA from 1 species
UUCUGAUGAUAUCUAUAUUUUUACUACUACACCAAGAUCGCAGAACGAUCGUGUUGAAUAUUCUUUCUGA